GGGGAAUGCACAUGACAGUGUAAUAAGAUACCACCACAGUGUGUUAGAAGGCAGGAAGUUAAAGAGACUAACCACAGGGGUGGGGAGAGGUUGACCUGAGCUACAGUUAGACAGGAGGAGGAAACUCGGGUGUGCUUUGCACACAAGGGUGACUACAGGUAACAAUCAUGUAUUAUAUAUGUCAAAGAACCGUGAGAGGACUCUGAACGUCUUUCCCAUGAAGAAAUGAUGAGAAGACAGAUAGGUCCACCUGAUGUAAACAUUGCUCAGGUAUGUGUUAUGGUUAGAAUAUGCGGUGUUCCUCCAAAGGCUCCUGUCAACGCAGGAAUGUUGGGGUGGAAGAGUGGACUGUGAGAGCUGGAGCCCAAUUGUGCAUCCGAGUUUCAAUGGACUGACUGGGCGGGGACGGGACAGGGCAGGUGGGACAUGCUGGAGGAGGUGAGUCACUGGGCUGUGCCCUGGAGGGGUGCAUCUUCCCCGCAGCCUCUUCCUCUGUCUCUCUGCCUCCCGGCCGCCUUGAGCUGAGCAGCUGGCCUGUGCGGGCCCUCCCCCAGGAGGUGCUGCCUCACCUGGGCCCAGAGUCGGCCGCCUAUGGACUGAGGCCUCUGAAACAUGAGCCCCAGGUAAACUUCUCCUCCUUAAGUUGUUCUUGUUGGGUAUUUUGGUCACAGUGGCACAAAAGCUCACUAAAACAGGGUUGAAACAUUACAUGGCACUCCAUAAAUAUGUAUAAUAUUUAUAUUUUUUUAGUAUCUUUUAAAAAAUAAAUUUAACCUAAGUAACUCAGCAAGACCCUGUCUCUAAAUAAAAUACAAAAAAGGGGGGCUGGAGAUGUGGCUCAAGUGGUAGUGCGUUGGUACCAAAAUAAAUAAAUAAAUUGAUUAAUUAACUAAAUUUAGCCAGACAGAGUGGCAUACACCUGAAAUCCCACAACUUGAGUGGCUGAGGCAGGAGGAUUGAAAGUUUGAGGCCAACCUCGAUAACUCAGCAAGGCUGUUAGCAACUUAGCAAAACCUUGUCUCAAAAUGAAAAACAGAAAGGGCUGGGGAUGUGGCUCAGUGGUUAAGCACCUUGGUUUAAUCCCUGGUGCUACUAGACUAGUAUUAUCAGUAAUACUACUACCACUAAAUAAUAAUAAUAAUAAUAAUAACAACAACUUAACUAAGUUUAAAAAGACAUCAUGUCAUGCAAGGAUAUGGAGCAGCUGAACUCCCCCUGUGCAGCUGCUGGAAUGUAACAUAACACUUGGGAAAUAUUUGGCCCUUUCUUUAAAGCUUAAACACACACCUGUGUGACCAAUCAUUCCACUCCUAGGCAUUUACCCAGGAGAACUGAAAGCAUAUGUCUCUCCCAAGACUUGUAAACAAAUGUUUAUAGCAACUUUAUCUGUGAUAGCCCCAGCUGCAAACAGCGCAGAUGCCCAUCAGCAGGCAAGCAGAUAACCAGAUUGUGGUGUCUUCAUAUAAUGGUAUGAAAAGGGAUGAAAAUUCACGGAAUCAACAGGGUGAAUCUCAAGGCAGUGAUGGGAAGGAAAGAAACCCGACAGAAAAGAGCCCUCGCACGUGACUCCAUUUACAUAAAAAUCUAGAAAAGGCCAUCUCAUCCUGGCAGCAGGGGGCAGGUCAGAGGUCGCCAGGGAAGGCAGGGAAAGGCCAGGGAGUGGUAGUGACAAAGCAGGUGCUUUUAGGGCUGCUAGACACGUUCAGUACGUUGCCGUGAUGGUGGCCACAGGUGUGCGUGUGCCAGAAAGUGUCGGGCCAUUGGCUUUGCACACUGUGUGUCACUCAGAUCCAAAUAAAGCCUCCCCUUCUUGCUCCUGUGGAAGAGAGAGAUCCUAAUCAGAUUGGUGAGGUUCCAGGUGAUGAGGCCAUGUGUGCCCACUCAGGUGGACAUGGGGGUGUGUGGCCGCCCUUCCUUCCACCUCUCCUGCAGGCAGCCAGUGACCCCCUGUGGCAGGGGUCAGCCUGGGCGGGGUGGGGUGGGGUGAAGCUGGUCCCCACAGGUGUUCUCUGUAGGGCCCACUUUCUGGGUUCUCUAGCCUGGGCUUCUGGCCAGUGUGGAGGUGGUACCUUCCCCAGGGCUCUCCCUCUCCCCCAGCCCUCCCCGGGAGGGAGGAGGAUGCUAGGAGACUACGGAUGGUCCUGGGCUCCCUAGCACUGAGCCACCGUCCACUCUGCCAAUCUCACGGCCACCCCACACCUGCAGUUCCAGUGGGGCCACCAGUCCGUACUGGGGAGUUGGCACUGUCCUCUGUCACCGCCCAGGGAGUGGAGUGUGUCAGCAGGUGGCACCGCGGUGGUGCUGUGUCAGGAGGACACUGUGGAAGCCUCGUGGCCGCAGCGCAGGAGGCCCUCUGCCUCGCACCUUUAUUUUAUUUUUUUUUUAAUUUUUUUUUUUUAAGAGAGAGAGAGAGAGAAUUUUUUUUUUAAUAUUUAUUUUUCAGUUCUCGGCGGACACAACAUCUUUGUUUGUAUGUGGUGCUGAGGAUCGAACCCGGGCCGCACGCAUGGCAGGUGAGCGCGCUACCGCUUGAGCCACAUCCCCAGCCCCAGCCCCUUUAUUUUACUUGUGUAUUUUAUGUGGUGCUGAGGCUCGAACCCAGGGCCUCGAAUGUGCUAGGCGAGUGCUCCACUGCUGAGCCCCAGCCCCGCCCCUGCUUAAUAGAUUUAUUAAUGAAGUGUACGCUUAUAGCUAAGAUGGUAAUUUUUGUGUGUAUCUUAUCACAAAAACAAUGAUACAGAAUGGUAGAUAAUGCCAGAAGCCCAUACAGGGGUAGGGCAGUGACGUGGCAGCUCUGGGCGGGGCCCUUCAUCAAAGGAGCUAACAGCACCUAGCUCAGACCCCACACAACUCCACAAGGUCACCACCUCUUUCUACCUCCAAGGUCACCGGGGAUGCUCAGGGGGUGUGACUAACCUGUUGGGGCCGCCCGCCGGGGCAGAUACUGGGCCCAGGUCCUGCUCGCGGAGCUCUGAGGAUGUCCAACAAUGGCGACAGAGGUGGAUGUUAACUGAGCCCUAAGCACUUGGCAAGACUCAGAGAUGGGCUGCUGCUGACUACCGAAGCAGCUGGGCCCAAAAGAGCACGACACUUGAUCCCAUCCAUGUGAAGUGCCCGACACAGGGAGUUGGUGGCAAUGGGAAGUGGACUAAGGGUCACCUGGGGCUGGGCAACCGAAAGGGGCAUGGCUAAAAGGUUCAGCAUUUCUUUUUCUGAGAUGAUACAAAAAUCCCCAAAUUGACUGGUGAUCACUGUACUAUGGUCUGUAUUCCCCCCCACCCCCCAAAUUCAUGUGUUGAACCUGAUCACCAGUGUGAGGGUGUGGAGGUGGGACCUGUGGGAGACACCUGGGAUCAGUGUCCUUACAGAAGAGGCUGCAGGGGCCCACACUCUCACCCUUUCCCCCACUGAGGAACCUGGAAGUGCCCUCCUGAGACAUAGUUGGCCACACCCUGAUCAGAGCUCUGAGGAAUCAGUUUCUGUGGCUUCUGAGCAGCCAGUCUGUGGUGUUUUGUUACAGCAUCUGAAUGGACUGACUCACUGCAUAGAUCUGUGCAUACACUAACAACCGUAGAACCGCACUGCACAGGUGGGAAGGGAAUUGUAUCCCAAUAAAUUUGUGAAUAAAAAUAUCUUUAAUACAUUCAUCUCACCAUCUGACGGACACGCAGUACACAGCUGUUGAGGAUGCUAAGAAUCCUAAAUAACCAAGCCUGGCCCUGGUCACCUGGAUGUGGCAUAUGAGUUUAGCCACAUUUAGCUAGUGGCGUCUCUCGGUUAAUCCUGGGUUUCCAGGAUGACUGCUCUGGGGUGGAGUGGGGCGGGGUCCCCUAUGCAUGUCUGACACUAAGACUGUGACAUCCUUUCCCACCUUGCCAGGGAAGGGCCACACUGGGGUUGUGUGUCUCUGGCCUGAGGUCUAGGAAGCUCAGGCAUGCGAGGUCAGGCCGACUCGCCAGCCAAGAAUAGCGCACGGCUUCUCCCUGCAUCCUGCUCACUAUAAACACCCAGUGCACCACCUCUCAUCUGUCUGAUUACAAAUGUCUGCGAUAAAAUAUGACCCUGGGCCUGGGCCAGUGGGGGAGAUAGUCCCAUCUCUGCAUUCCCAGCCAUGCUGUCUGGGGAGACAAGUGGGCAGAACCAGACUGGCCUUUGCCAGGUGCGAGGUCACCCUUUAUAUUUGCCUUUCUGGACAUGGGCACAAAGACAGAAUCCAUUUGCUCAGAUGCCUUUUCUUGCAUUUGAAACUUUCUAUUUCUGCUGGGCACAGAGGAGCAC
rnacentral:lncRNA from 1 species